rnacentral:rRNA from 1 species
GACGGAGGAUGCAAGUGUUAUCCGGAAUCACUGGGCGUAAAGCGUCUGUAGGUGGUUCAAUAAGUCAACUGUUAAAUCUUGAGGCUCAACUUCAAAAUCGCAGUCGAAACUAUUGGACUCGAGUAUAGUAGGGGUAAAGGGAAUUUCCAGUGGAGCGGUGAAAUGCGUAGAGAUUGGAAAGAACACCAAUGGCGAAAGCACUUUACUGGGCUAUUACUGACACUGUGAGACGAAAGCUAGGGUAGCAAAUGGG